GAUUCUGGCUCAGGAUGAACGCUGGCGGCGUGCCUAACACAUGCAAGUCGAACGGGUUAAGGGAAAUUUCGGAUGGACCUUAACUAGUGGCGGACGGGUGAGUAACGCGUGGAUAACCUGCCUCACACAGGGGGAUAGCAGCUGGAAACGGCUGGUAAUACCGCAUAAGACCACGGUGCCGCAUGGCGCUGAGGUAAAAGAUUUAUCGGUGUGAGAUGGAUCCGCGUCUGAUUAGCCAGUUGGCGGGGUAACGGCCCACCAAAGCGACGAUCAGUAGCCGGCCUGAGAGGGUGAACGGCCACAUUGGGACUGAGACACGGCCCAAACUCCUACGGGAGGCAGCAGUGGGGAAUAUUGCACAAUGGGCGCAAGCCUGAUGCAGCCAACGCCGCGUGAGUGAAGAAGUAUUUCGGUAUGUAAAGCUCUAUCGGCAGGGAAGAAAGGCCCUUUAAGGGAGAUGACGGUACCUGACUAAGAAGCCCCGGCUAACUACGUGCCAGCAGCGGC
rnacentral:rRNA from 1 species